rnacentral:rRNA from 1 species
GCAGUCGACGAUGAACCUCACUUGUGGGGGGAUUAGUGGCGAACGGGUGAGUAACACGUGAGUAACCUGCCCUUAACUCUGGGAUAAGCCUGGGAAACUGGGUCUAAUACCGGAUAUGACUCCUCAUCGCAUGGUGGGGGGUGGAAAGCUUUUUGUGGUUUUGGAUGGACUCGCGGCCUAUCAGCUUGUUGGUGAGGUAAUGGCUUACCAAGGCGACGACGGGUAGCCGGCCUGAGAGGGUGACCGGCCACACUGGGACUGAGACACGGCCCAGACUCCUACGGGAGGCAGCAGUGGGGAAUAUUGCACAAUGGGCGCAAGCCUGAUGCAGCGACGCCGCGUGAGGGAUGACGGCCUUCGGGUUGUAAACCUCUUUCAGUAGGGAAGAAGCGAAAGUGACGGUACCUGCAGAAGAAGCGCCGGCUAACUACGUGCCAGCAGCCGCGGUAAUACGUAGGGCGCAAGCGUUAUCCGGAAUUAUUGGGCGUAAAGAGCUCGUAGGCGGUUUGUCGCGUCUGCCGUGAAAGUCCGGGGCUCAACUCCGGAUCUGCGGUGGGUACGGGCAGACUAGAGUGAUGUAGGGGAGACUGGAAUUCCUGGUGUAGCGGUGAAAUGCGCAGAUAUCAGGAGGAACACCGAUGGCGAAGGCAGGUCUCUGGGCAUUAACUGACGCUGAGGAGCGAAAGCAUGGGGAGCGAACAGGAUUAGAU